rnacentral:rRNA from 1 species
UGGUUACCCCGCCUGAAAAUGAGCAUAUAAGUAGGCGGAGGAAAUGACACAAACAUGGAUUCACUGGGUAACUGCGAGUGACAUGUGAUUUGCUCACAGCUGAUAUUCUUUGCUGUAUGCUUUGACAUGAGGACUUUGAGUGUGGUGCCAAUGGUGGUGUAAGUGUGAGCCAUCUUGGAAAAGAGAAGAGUGUGCACUUACAAGGGUGAGAAGCCUGUGUGUGCUUACAGAAUCUCCACAUGUGGGUCUCACUUUGAGAAUCAUGCUCUUUGGAAGUGGAGUGUAAAGUGGGCGGUAGACUCUUCUCAAAGCUGAGUACAGAACUGGGACAGACAGGGAAGAAGUACCAUGAGGGAAGUGUGAAAAGGACUUUGGAAAGAGACUUAAAAGAGCCUGUACGUGCUGAAGGAUACGCAUACAGCAUGCUUGCAUGUGAGAUGAUUGCUGUGGGUGUGCGGCUGUCUUUGACUGGAUGACUGUGGACAUGUGCCAUGGACACUUGACCACCCAUUGUGUAUCCUCUUGUGUGUGCCAGCAUGUUGGAGACAGUCAGUGUUUGAGCGCAGUGGUUGCUGUGCAUCUCAAGAUACAUCAGAUGUGCACUCAAAGAUCUGAGCAUGUUGAAAAGCAGGUGCAGAAGGGCCCUCCUGUCUGUAUGACCCGUCUUGAAACACGGACCAAGGAGUCUAGCAUGAGUGCAAGCUUAUGGGACUGAAGACUCUGUGUGCAAUGAAGGUGGAGUCCCAGAUUUGUGCAUGAGUGUUCAAACAAGCAGGAGGACAAGGUUUGAGUCUGAGCACUCCUGAUAGGACCCGAAAGAUGGUGAACUAUGCCUGGAAAGGGCCAAGUCAGGGGAAACUCUGGUGGAGGCUCGUAGCGUUACUGACGUGCAAAUCGUUCGUCACACCUGGGUAUGGGGGCGAAAGACUAAUCGAACCAUCUAGUAGCUGUUUUCCUCCCGA